GGAUUGGCCAGUGAGAAAUGUUGCGUGAAGGUGAAGCGUCUGGGAAGGCGUACCGGAGUGGGUGAGAGUCCUGUAACUGUAAGCGUGGCACUGGUGUGGGGUUGCCCCGAGUAGCGUGGGACUCGUGGAAUUUCGCGUGAAUCUGGCGGGACCACCCGUCAAGCCUAAAUACUCCUUGGUGACCGAUAGUGGAUGAGUACCGUGAGGGAAGGGUGA
rnacentral:rRNA from 1 species